rnacentral:rRNA from 1 species
UACAGAGGUCUCAAGCGUUGUUCGGAUUCAUUGGGCGUAAAGGGUGCGUAGGUGGCGACGCAAGUCAGAUGUGAAAUCCCGGGGCUCAACCCCGGAACUGCAUUUGAAACUGCCUUGCUCGAGUACUGGAGAGGAGACUGGAAUUUACGGUGUAGCAGUGAAAUGCGUAGAUAUCGUAAGGAAGACCAGUGGCGAAGGCGAGUCUCUGGACAGUUACUGACACUGAGGCACGAAGGCCAGGGGAGCAAACGGG